GACGAACGCUGGCGGCGCGCCUAACACAUGCAAGUCGAACGAGAGAGAAGGAGCUUGCUUCUUCGAUCGAGUGGCGAACGGGUGAGUAACGCGUGAGGAACCUGCCUCAAAGAGGGGGACAACAGUUGGAAACGACUGCUAAUACCGCAUAAGCCCACGGGUCGGCAUCGACCAGAGGGAAAAGGAGCAAUCCGCUUUGAGAUGGCCUCGCGUCCGAUUAGCUAGUUGGUGAGGUAAUGGCCCACCAAGGCGACGAUCGGUAGCCGGACUGAGAGGUUGAACGGCCACAUUGGGACUGAGACACGGCCCAGACUCCUACGGGAGGCAGCAGUGGGGAAUAUUGCACAAUGGGGGAAACCCUGAUGCAGCGACGCCGCGUGGAGGAAGAAGGUCUUCGGAUUGUAAA
rnacentral:rRNA from 1 species